rnacentral:rRNA from 1 species
UCGUCAGCUCGUGUCGUGAGAUGUUGGGUUAAGUCCCGCAACGAGCGCAACCUCGACCUUUAGUUGCCAGCAUUCAGUUUGGGGCACUCUAAGGUGACUGCCGGCUAAAAGUCGGAGGAAGGUGGGGAUGACGUCAAAUCAUCAUGCCCCUUAUGACCUGGGCUACACACGUGCUACAAUGGGCGGUACAAAGGGUCGCGAACCCGCGAGGGGGAGCCAAUCCCAAAAAGCCGCUCCCAGUUCGGAUUGCAGGCUGCAACUCGCCUGCAUGAAGCCGGAAUCGCUAGUAAUCGCGGAUCAGCAUGCCGCGGUGAAUACGUUCCCGGGCCUU